rfam:Ixodes scapularis strain Wikel colony gcontig_1108379254088, whole genome shotgun sequence.
CCUUGGUUAGCUUAGUUGGUAGAGCGCUCCACCUGUAAUGGAGAGGUCCCGGGUUCGUAACCCGGACCAGGCG